CUCUCCUCUUAUUAUUUUUUCUUCUUCUUUCCUCUUCUUCUUCUAGCGAACCCGAGAGAUGAAAUUGAGAUUUGAUUUCGGGAGAACAAUUGAUUAAACUUUGUAGAUAAAGAAGGAGUUUGUGUUUCUGUGUUUAUGAAGAAGAAGAUUGUGAUGCUGUUAAAUCAAAUAUAGGGUUCUGUAAGAAGUUUGUAAAGAAGGAUUAGAAGCUGGGGUUUCUUAUAUAUAGUACUGAUUCGAGGUUGAUUUCCUGACGUAAAAGAAGAAUUGAGAACCGGGUUUAGUUGAUUGAGGAAGGAGUGAAGUUAAUUGGAUUUUACAGAGCUGUUCAUGAAGAAAUGAAGAGUUAGGGUUUGUAAAACUGGUUAAUUAAAUUCGUAUGGAAUGAAUUGUUUUAUUAGGUUGUUGACAGAUGAAGAAGAAAAGGUCUACCGUUUAAUUGAUGUUUUGAAGUGGUUCUGAUGAUGAAUUGAAGAAUUAGGGUUUUGAGAUUGAUGUUGAGUGCAUGUGAAAAUUGAUAAGUGAUUCGGGUUGUUGUUAGAUGGAUAUGGAGAGGGUUUUUGUCUGAUUGAUCCAGCAGAGUUGUGUUAGUGAAGAAUCAUGAGUUAGGAUUUGAUUAUGUUUAAUGAAGGUGGUUGGAUGUUGGCGAUGGUGAACUGACAAAUAAGGGAGGACAUUGUAGUGAUUUGUUUGUCUGAAAAUCUUCUUAAGGUAAUUGUUCUCAGUUAAUUAGUGAAAUUAUUCAUUGAUGAUUUAUGAGAUGAUGAAUCCCAGAUGGAUUUACUUAGAUUUAAUUUGAAAUGGAUUGUAUGAGUUUCUAGUGACUGUGUUGUUGCAAUUUGAUGAUAGUUGAAGUUGAUCGAAUUCUGGGAAUGAAAUUGAGAAAAUUCAGAGAAGCUGGGUGAGGUAUUUACACUGUUGAGCCUAUGGGUUUAUUCAUGAAUUAUGGUCCGAGAUAGCUAUGGUGGUUUGCUGAGUGUUACAUGGAUUUUAGAUGAAUGUUAAGGAGAUACAGUUACAUAUAGGUAUGUGAUGUUGAUUGAAGUUAUGUGAUUGUUAAAGGACUCACAGUUGAGUUAGAUGAACGGGGUAUGUGAUAGAGAUGAAAUUGUUUAUCCAGUGAUGUUGUAUUGAGGUGCAACUGAAAUUAAUUGGUAUUGCAGGGAAUUAGUAUAAGUUGAGAUUAGUGAUUGUGUUUUGAAUGGUUGUAAGUGAAUGUAAUGGUGCAGAGCUGUAAAAAGGCUUAAAAGUAUGCAGGGAAAAGUCUUGAUAUGGAUGUUCUGUCAUGAGAAUGUGUUGAUGUUGUGAGAAUUGUACAGGGUUUGUGUUGAGGUUUAGAUGAGUUGGUUGUUUGUACCAGGGUUAUGGUGUAGCUGCAAACAGUGAUAAUGCUAUUGGGUUAUGACAGUUGGUUGAAUUGGAAUUGAAUUACAGUUGAGGGUUAUAUAUGUGAAAUGUAGAAAUUAGAUGUUCAGUGUGGAGUUGAAUGUAAGAUAAGAACUUCCCAUAGAGGAAAGGUGUUGCUUAGAGGUGCAAUUUGCAGUCGAUUCAAAAGGACGAACCAGUGGAUCGUGGAUCUUGAGGUAGGCGUGGCUUGUCGUCAAAAGAGUUUCAGAAAAAGAUCAGAGUUGCGCAGCGAAAGCUUCGAGGAGUUGACUCCGUUAAUUAGUUAACUUCUGUUAUGUUUAUUAUGUUAUUUAUUCUAUCUGCAAACCAAAUGAUUAUUGUAUAUGUAUCAUUUGAGAGGAAUUCUUAUAUAUAAUUCAGAGAAGGGUUAGUUUUUGGGUUAA